CCCCUCUUCCAAAAAAAAAAAAAAAAAAGAGAACCAACAUAUCAUUCACUGCCUUGAAAUUGUUGAUGUAAUUUAUCCCUUUCCCACACCCUAUGUCCGUCUUGUCUCAAUUGAUUGUAAGCAUCUCAGGUCACGGACUACCUACUAUAUACAAAAUACUAUGCUAUAAGAAGGUUCUGUCUGAGUUAGUCUUUAUGCACAGUAUAAAUAAAUAAAUUUUAUUAAUAAUAAUAACUAUGUGAGUAAACCCACUGAUUUUAAUGGUACAGCUGACAGUAAGUGGUCAAAGUAAGUGUCAAAAGGAUGCCUUAUGCUACAUGGAAUUAAGAAGAAAAGAUGCAUUUAAGGAAGCAUUGACAAAACUUUAAAAAAACCCUUAUUUAACUGAUUGCCUCUUGUAAUUUGCCAAAUAAAAGAUUUUUAUUGGUUUAUUCUUACAGUCAUUUAUUCAUUGUGGAUAGUAUCACACUGAAUACUUAUCUCAGCUUAGUGGCCUCAGGGAUAAUCCAAGCCAGUAUUAUGUUAAACAUUAUGCAGAACAAUGAAAGAGCAAAUGAGCGCAAGUGUUUCUGCUCCAAAAAGUUAGGUAAAAGCCUAAUAUCUACAUGCGGUAGCUAUACAGAACAUCUAUAUACCGAUGAGGAGGAGCUUUAUAGAAAAUAAGUUGUCAAUGCCAACCUCUACAGGUGUUCAACAGGAGCUCAAAGUGGGAUAAAGCAGGAAGGUCUUUAUUUGAAAGUCCAUUAGUGGAGUUCAGUUGUACCAGCUGGCAGGAAACAGGAGAUACCCUUGCAGAGUGAAACAAAAGGUACAGUAGGACCAGAUCAGUGUGUGAAUGGGCUUGCAAUUGAAGACUAACAAUUUUGUGUGAUAGAGAAGACUCUCUUUGGAAAGGUGUGGAGAACUUACAUAGUUAAACUGAAGAACUAAGAAAAUCGUGUUGCAGAGCUUUCUGAAUGGAAGCAAAUGCUUUAUUUGUUGAGGCCAGAGGAAAGGAUGUCAACAAUAACUGAGGUGAGGAGAGCUUGAGCAAGAUUCCUAGCCAUGUCAAUAAAUAACAAAGAUCACGUCUCGGCUGACAUCUGCACAGCAGUUUAGACCAAUCUGAGCCCAAACCCCACAGUCCUGGCUGUAAGGUUCCACCUGCUCCUUUGCACAUUUGGCUGUAAAACGAUGGUACAUCAGGCAGAUGGUUUGUCUAACACAUGCUCAUUACCAAGGCUUUAAAUGCAAUGGAGACACCUGAAGUUUGAAAGGAGACAGUAGUAAGAGGCAAUCAUAUCUGUAUUUGCCCAUUAGGCUGUUGAGCUAUGAGCUAGAAGGGAUGGGAGGAGAGUCAAGAACGGUGCUCACCACUGCUCUUGCAGAAAAGGGAAAGAAACACAAGGUACAGUACUGACAAGCCAAGCUGAAAUAGUGAUUGGAGAAGCAACAGAUGAGAGUAAUUGCAAAAGCUAAGAUAGGGCACUAGCUAGCUAGGCCAAACGUGACUGAAGGCCAAAGAAGAGAUUGGUUUAAGUUGGGUUGAGAAGCUUUCAGAUGACAAGAGGAAGCAAAACCAAGUUUGUAGGGGAUUUAGGGUAGAACCAGACAAGAGGUGUGAUUGGAAGAUUUGUAAAAGUAAGAAGACAAGAGGUGCUUCUACCAAAGGCUUUUUUUUUUUUUUUUUUUUCCUAACAUAAGAGACAAGCAUAUCUGUGGGAGUGCUGGGGGGGUCAGAGCAGACUGAAUGACUAAAGCUGUGAACAAAUGAAAGAGUGGGUGGUGAGGAAGAUCAGGAAAUGAAAUAGGGUGAGGUUAAUAGGGCAAGCGAUGGAGUUACAGAAGAUGUGUAGGUAAGAUUUUUGUUAUUGCCACCUAGACACUUGUAGAAAGGGGAAGCAUCAAGAGAAUAUUUUGUUGAUUUUUAUCUCUGAAGAAAAUGGUCAGAUAGCAAGUAGAGGAAAGCAGAAAGGAAAGCUUGACAAGGGUUAGUCAGCAGCAAUGAAAAGCUAGCUAGGAUUACAGGCGUGCAGAUAAGCUGCAGAAGUAGAAUUGUUUAGCUGUAAGAAGGCAGAAAUGGAGGAGAGGGCAGGCUUGCAGGAAAGGAAGUUAGCUUGAUCACAGGAUUUCCGUCAGAGACACUUUGCGCUGCAAAAGCAAGCAUGGAUGAAGCAAGUGCUGAAGUGUCACCUCAAGGACCCACACGCAAUGGCCAGUUUCAGCUGAAUUCACCAGCAGGCCGGAGGCCUUAACGGCACCUCAGAUCCCACAAUUUUUGAGAAAGCGGCAAUAAGAGGAGAUGAGGCCCAAAGGAGAGAGGCACGGCUGCAGAGCGAGCUCAGUAGUUAUCAGCGCCGUCCGCCGGUCCACACCCCGAUAGUGCCGGGCCAGCUGGCAGGCGUUCAGCCCGGAGAGCCGGCCGCGGCACGCGCAGCCCUGCCCGGGGUAAACAGGGCGGCCAGGGAGGCGAUACCGGAGCACCCAACGCUUCGGCUUCCAGGGCACGGGCCGGGCUACGGCACAGAAGCUCACGUCGGAUGGAUGAUGGCUGCCCUGUAAUUGCUCCGAGCGGGAGCGACCCCGGGGAGACGGGGAAACAGGGAGCGCGCAGGGAGCAAGGGUGUUGGCACGACGGUGGUAAAAUCUCGUAGAAAUCCCCAGGGAGCGCGGCUUCCCCAGCUCUGUUUAUGGCUCACCUCAUUAUGGUUUAACUCGGAAAACAGUGACUGUUUCUUACUCAUUACACGUUUGGUUUUGUGACAAAAGUUAAGUAGCACUGGAUAGACACUGUAAUUCAAUAAAAAAUGCUGAAAAACACUAUCAGAGAGCUGUAGAUUCAGGUUACUACGUCUGGUAUGCUGGAAGGCUGCGUACUCUAAGCUCCAGAUCCCACUGACGGUGAUCGGGCAUGUAAACAGGAAACCUCGGCACGCUCCCACAAUAAAUACUGAUAUUUAAAUAACCUGAAGAAUGGCUUGUGUGCUUAGUCCUUUUCCAAUAAGCAGCGUUACCUCAGUUUAUGAACGUUUACGGUGUGAUCAUGCUUCCCUCAGCAGUCCUGAGUGUGAGAGGCCGCAGGCUGUUCAGCCAAAUUUGAAAGCCAAGGAGAAGUCUCGAAGGUAUAGGUGCAGAAAAGAUCAUCCCGACCAAGGCGGCAGUACAAAAGGAGUACGUGAAUUCUAAUUCAGAAGCCAAGAUGCAGAUGCUAAUGCCCGAACCUCAGAUUUUUGUGGAAAGAACUCUGGCCCUCAUCAAACCAGAUGUUGUUGAUAAAGAAGAAGAAAUAGAGGAUCUCAUUCUCCGAUCAGGAUUCCUGAUCGUUCAGCUUAAGAGCAAUCUAUGGGACUGAUGAUCUGAGGAAUGCACUUCACGGCAGUCUCAGCAUUUCCUCAGCAGAAAGAGAAAUUCGAUUCAUGUUUCCAGAAGUGAUCUUGGAGCCAAUUCCAGCUGGACAAAGAGCUAGGGAUUACUUGAACCUUUAUGUAAAGCCUACAUUAUUAGCUGGGCUCACUGCACUGUGUAAAGAGAAGCCAGCAGAUCCAAUGAUUUGGCUUGCUGACUGGUUGAUUGAACACAAUCCUAAUAAACCUAGGCUACAACAUCACAUCCCUCAGGAAGAGCAUCAGGGGUGAGAGCUCAGUGGAAACCAUCUCAAGCAUUCCAAGUUACAGACACUGGAAAGCAUAAUACGUGUAUCCCUUGGCUAUGUAAUCAAUAUUAUCUGAAGUAAAUGUUAUUGUCAUGACUACCUGUAUCCUCUUGGGAUAAAUAACCUUACACUUAAUCAGCAUGUAAUAGUUCCAGUAGCUUUUCUAUUGACAAAGUGAAUGUAGAAUUACAUGAUAAAUUUAUGGUGUCAGGUGAGUAUAAAAAGACAAAAUUCUCAACAGGUGUGACUUAACUGCUAUUUUCCCCCAUUUAUCUUGGUUUGGCUGUCUGGGGAGAACAAAAUUAUUUAUACCAGAGCAGAUUCCCAAAUGACAUACAGCUGGCCUGUGCUUUGUGAAACUAAGACUUGUGUUUCAGCAUUUUUUUAGCAGACACAAAUUCCAUUAUGGAGGGAGGUACUUGGAUGUAACUUAGAAAACAAUUACUGGAGGCAUAUUAGUAACUUUAGAAUUUUAAUUGCUGAUUACAUCACUGAGCUAAGGUCUCUUGAAGAUGAUUCCCUUGAGCCUGAUGUAUUUUGUCAGAAUAUAAUUUGAAGGACUUAUUUGAAGGUCCCAUCUCAGUGGUGAAAAGCACUGUGGUUAUAAAUCAGUGUUUGAUUUCCAUUAGAAGUCACAAGAAGGUGUAUUUUAGUCAAGGACUAAAGCUGUCUUCCAACAUUUGUUUGAAAGAAAGGUGCUUAAUUGGAAUAGCUCACCUUAAGGGUGUUUUCUGUGUUCUCCUGCUGUUAAAAGGUAUGCUGAUUUCUGUUGUUUUCCUUGUAUCGUUGUUUACCCUUGAACUUUAAUGUGUUCUAUUUGAGAAUUUUGAGAGAAUGGGUUAGGGGCCAUGCUAUUCAACAGGCACUAUUACGUUUUCUAAAGUAACUGGACUGUUUUGGGGGGGGGGGGGGGGGGGGGGGCAGCAUGGGUCUUUUUAAUUUUCUUCAGAGAGCUGUACUUGCACUGUUAACUUCAAGCUUUGUAUCUUAUGGUUUGACUGGCUAGGCUGGAGAAACCAAUGUCAUUUUCACAACUCUGAAAUAUUAGUAUGCUUGACUAUUACUAAACAAACAAGUAAUUUCAUAAUUUGUUUCAUGAAAAAACUUGCUCCCCCAGCUUGAGUAAUUACGAGAAACAUAAGUCAUUUGUCUGUAACAUUAAACUUUGUUUAAGCUAAUUGUUUAUCUUCUCAGUGGAAUAAACCACUAGUGCUAGCCCAGAGAAUAAACAUUUAGAAAACUGGUCCCUACAGUACCAAGACCUAAGAAUAUUGGGACUUUUAGGAUGAGGGAAAAAAAAAGCAGCAAGCCCAAAUCCUCAAAUAUGAAGAAAAAAAUAUUAGGUGGUUAGAAACACAGUAAAUAAAUCCAUUUACAACUAAUUUAUUUUGCCUAUAAUUAUUGUCACCAUGUAUGUCUGCUCCAUUUACAGGACAGUUGUACUUUGUGGUUUCCUGUAAGCCAAACCAAAACUUUCUUUUUUGAAGAUGUCAGAAACUAAAAUUGGGUGAAUUCACAAGAUAUUCACCUGUAUUUUGUUAGUUACUAUGGCAUUUUCUUUCUUACUUUGCUGUGAUACUGCUUGACAAUAAAUAUCUGCUUUACUUUA